GGAAUUACUGGGCGUAAAGGGUCUGUAGGUGGUUUGUUAAGUCAGAUGUGAAAGCCCAGGGCUCAUUCUUGGAACUGCAUUUGAUACUGGCAAACUAGAGUAUGGUAGAGGAAUGGGGAAUUUCUGGUGUAGCGGUGAAAUGCGUAGAGAUCAGAAGGAACACCAAUGGCGAAGGCAACAUUCUGGACCAAUACUGACACUGAGGGACGAAAGCGUGGGGAUCAAACAGGAUUAGAUACCCUGGUAGUCCACGCUGUAAACGAUGAGUACUAGCUGUUGGAUUCGGUGUAAAGGAUCUAGUGGCGUAGCUAACGCGUUAAGUACUCCGCCUGGGGACUACGGCCGCAAGGCUAAAACUCAAAGGAAUUGACGGGGACCCGCACAAGCGGUGGAGCAUGUGGUUUAAUUCGAUGCAACGCGAAGAACCUUACCUGGUCUUGACAUCCUGCGAACUUUCUAGAGAUAGAUUGGUGCCUUCGGGAACGCAGUGACAGGUGCUGCACGGCUGUCGUCAGCUCGUGUUGUGAAAUGUUGGGUUAAGUCCCGCAACGAGCGCAACCCCUAUUGAUAGUUACCAUCAUUAAGUUGGGUACUCUAUUGAGACUGCCGCUGACAAGGCGGAGGAAGGUGGGGACGACGUCAAGUCAUCAUGGCCCUUACGACCAGGGCUACACACGUGCUACAAUGGGUAUUACAGAGGGCAGCGAAGUAGCGAUAUGGAGCGAAACUCAGAAAGGUACUCUUAGUCCGGAUUGCAGUCUGCAACUCGACUGCAUGAAGUCGGAAUCGCUAGUAAUCGCAGGUCAGAAUACUGCGGUGAAUACGUUCCCGGGUCUUGUACACACCGCCCGUCACACCAUGGGAGUGGGUUGCUCCAGCAAGUAGAU
rnacentral:rRNA from 1 species